GGAAUUUUGGACAAUGGGCGCAAGCCUGAUCCAGCAAUGCCGCGUGAGUGAAGAAGGCCUUCGGGUUGUAAAGCUCUUUUGUCAGGGAAGAAACGGUGGGAGCUAAUAUCUCCUGCUAAUGACGGUACCUGAAGAAUAAGCACCGGCUAACUACGUGCCAGCAGCCGCGGUAAUACGUAGGGUGCAAGCGUUAAUCGGAAUUACUGGGCGUAAAGCGUGCGCAGGCGGUUUUGUAAGUCUGUCGUGAAAGCCCCGGGCUCAACCUGGGAAUUGCGAUGGAGACUGCAAGGCUUGAAUCUGGCAGAGGGGGGUAGAAUUCCACGUGUAGCAGUGAAAUGCGUAGAGAUGUGGAGGAACACCGAUGGCGAAGGCAGCCCCCUGGGUCAAGAUUGACGCUCAUGCACGAAAGCGUGGGGAGCAAACAGGAUUAGAUACCCUGG
rnacentral:rRNA from 1 species